GCAAUGCUAGUUCACUGGUAGAAUUCUCACCUUCCAUGUGGGAAACUCGUGUUCAAUUCUCGGCAAAUGCA
rnacentral:tRNA from 1 species